rnacentral:misc_RNA from 1 species
AGAUUGCAUUGCGGGGCGUGGAUGCCAGUGUCUCUUGUAAACGACACAAACAAUAACCGUAAACAAUCCUAAUUACGCUCCCAACUACGCUAAAGCAGCGUAGCGAGCCGGAAACUUAGCUGAUCAACUGGUGUUGGCUUGGUAUUUCCGUCAUUUUUGCCAGUUGCCUUUAAAAAGCGCCCGCUUUUAAAGUAAGAAAAGGGCUAUGGUCUUGCUAAGAUUUUUAGAGAGAUUGGAUCGCAAGCACCAGAAUCUCACCAAUUUCUCUAAGCAUGUAGAAGCCCGCGAAAGGAUGUGAUUUU